rnacentral:lncRNA from 1 species
GUUUGAACACUUUGAAUCGAUAAGUUACUAUCAUAAGCAUAUGUUUAUAAAUAUGUCUGAAUUAAUACCUGUUGAUCAUUAUCUCCUAUUUCAACGUUUAUCGGACUUUCUAUAUUUGUCUUAAAAACAGGGCAAUCACCAACUUUGGAAUAUACAUAUUGUAGUCCUGGUGUCAUCUCUGCAUAUGUGCUCAUUUCAACACCCUCAAAAAUUACUUCGAAC